CCUACGGGUGGCAGCAGUGAGGAAUAUUGGUCAAUGGGCGCGAGCCUGAACCAGCCAAGUAGCGUGAAGGAUGACUGCCCUACGGGUUGUAAACUUCUUUUAUAAAGGAAUAAAGUGAGGCACGUGUGCCGUUUUGGAUGUACGUUAUGAAUAAGGAUCGGCUAACUCCGUGCCAGCAGCCGCGGUAAUACGGAGGAUCCGAGCGUUAUCCGGAUUUAGUGGGUUUAAAGGGAGCGUCGAUGGGUUGGUAAGUCAGUGGGGAAAGUUUGCGGCUCAACCGUAAAAUUGCAAUUGAUACUGGCAGUCUUUAGUACAGUUGCGGUAGGCGGCAUUCG
rnacentral:rRNA from 1 species